rnacentral:rRNA from 1 species
UACGUAGGGUGCAAGCGUUAAUCGGAAUUACUGGGCGUAAAGCGUGCGCAGGCGGUUGUGCAAGACAGAUGUGAAAUCCCCGGGCUCAACCUGGGAACUGCAUUUGUGAUUGCACGGCUGGAGUGCGGCAGAGGGGGAUGGAAUUCCGCGUGUAGCAGUGAAAUGCGUAGAUAUGCGGAGGAACACCGAUGGCGAAGGCAAUCCCCUGGGCCUGCACUGACGCUCAUGCACGAAAGCGUGGGGAGCAAACAGG